AUGAGCAGGAAACCAAGCAAAUGGUGGAGAUUCCAGAUGGAGGGCGCUGCAUCAACUCCAGAGUUUUCCAGGAGUUUAUUCUGGAGGCGAGGUCGGUGUGAUGCGUCUAGAGCACUUCCCUUUACUUGGACAAAUAGAGAGGAUGACUGGCUUACUCUGGUGGCUGUUUUUGCUUGGAGGAAGUCCUUGCGUUCUACACACAGAAGCGUGUUUCUUGGGCAGGAAGUGUGGCAGCAGCAGAGUCGAGAGGAACAGUGAUGACAACAGAGAGAGUGAAUGAGAUUUCCUCAUGUUUUAUACAGCACGUGCCAUGAAAUAUGACACAAUACACAUUAAUAAAGUAUGUUUCAAUAACA
ensembl:lncRNA